AUACUUACUUCGAUGGGGUUGACUCGUGAUCGUAAGACGAGUGGCCUAUGCCAGUGACUUCCAUUGCACAAUAAGGAAGGGUGCUUAGCUUAAGGUCUUCCCAAGUGGAUGAUCCUGCGUCAUUAUUUGUGGCAGCAAGGGUGUUCGCGCGGCCUCUUC
rfam:Brassica napus, WGS project CCCW01000000 data, contig: 17373